GCGCGGGUGCUGUAAUUUGGUAGCCAGGCUGGCUUGAGGUGCCAGUGGUCGCAAGACCGUGGAGGUUCAAGUCCUCUCCCGCGCACCA
rnacentral:tRNA from 1 species